CCUACGGGGGGCUGCAGUGGGGAAUAUUGGACAAUGGGGGGAACCCUGAUCCAGCCAUGCCGCGUGUGUGAAGAAGGCCCUCGGGUUGUAAAGCACUUUCAGUGAGGAAGAACGCCUGGUGGUUAAUACCCAUCAGGAAAGACAUCACUCACAGAAGAAGCACCGGCUAACUCCGUGCCAGCAGCCGCGGUAAUACGGAGGGUGCGAGCGUUAAUCGGAAUUACUGGGCGUAAAGCGCGCGUAGGUGGCUUGAUAAGCCGGUUGUGAAAGCCCCGGGCUCAACCUGGGAACGGCAUCCGGAGCUGUCGAGCUAGAGAGCAGGAGAGGAAGGUAGAAUUCCCGGUGUAGCGGGGAAAUGCGUAGAGAUCGGGAGGAAUACCAGUGGCGAAGGAGGCCUUCUGGACUGACACUGACACUGAGGUGCGAAAGCGUGGGUAGCAAACAGGAUUAGAUACCCGAGGAGUC
rnacentral:rRNA from 1 species